CCAUCCCAUCAAGAAUUCUUCUGGUGACAAUUUAAGACUUCCUGCGCUGUAAAGGCUUUUAGCAAGGACAUGUUCUUGUCGCCAAUUAGCAAGGAUGAUAAUUAUCAAUGUUGCCAUAAGACUUCGGUGAAGCUAAUGUGGCUGAAGACAGGAGAAGUUCCAAUCAUCGGGAUGCCAACGGAGACUUGUUAGAGAAGUCUACACAUGCC
rnacentral:lncRNA from 1 species